rnacentral:lncRNA from 1 species
UCGGGUGGCUAACAUCAAAACCUGGUCCGAUCAAUUCACGCGGCUUGUGCACUUCCACCUGUCUAACUCUCAAUUUUUUCUCCAACUUUUUCUGUGCCCUCGCACGGUGGACACACGAACCCAGCAACAAAAGCCAAUUCGACGAGGACAAUUUGCCAAAAAUGGCCACGUCACUGAAUUCCGCUCUCCCGACGGCCCAGAAUCCGCCACGUCACCAGCUCCCCACCCCCCCGGGCGGAAAUCCUCCGCCAAUCCACGGUGCUCGAUUAAUCACCGCAGCAUGGGCCAGCGCUCAUUUCCGAAGUCCCCGUAGUGCCCCUACCUUCGUCACUUUAAUUAGGCGUUGGAAACGAUCCGUUUUGGUCAUUUCACCCUUCUCCACCUCCGCAGGCUCUUCCCGAAAAUGCCACUAAUCCGUCGCUCCGUAUCGUCUUCUCGUCUCGCUCUCGCUCUCUCUCUCUCUCUGCGCAACAAUGGCGACUGGUAUCUUGAAGCGAGCGAUCCUGAUCUCGAGGGGGCCCAUGUCGUCGGCGGCGCGCCUCCUCAUCGCCCGCCGCCAGGGGAGCGAGGCCCAGGCGCAGCCGGUCGAGCCCAAGGCCAAGCCCUCCACCAGCCUCAAGACCUUCUCGAUCUACCGGUGGACCCCCGACAGCCUCCUCAUCGUCGUCAUCAAUGUCACCAUAACCCCCGAUUGCACGAGCUUUGCAACAAAAACAAAGACCAAACUUGCAGUUCCACCUACUUCUGAAACAUGCGCUUCUUCACAGAGCCCAUUUCAAGUAAAAUGGAAACGCAAGUGAUGUGAACUUCACAAAAGGACAAAACAAAGCAAACAAAAGACAGCACCAACCGACCUAUUGGUGACAUUGAACCUCUCCUCGUCGUUCAAGUAAUCCUCGGCGUCCACGAAAUCCCCCCACUCCGGCUGCGCCUCCUCCCCGGGGGCCGGCUCCGCGGCGCGCACCACCUCCGGGUGGGCGUGCUCGAAGUACUCCCUCUCCCACUGCUUGUCCUCCCUGUGCCGCUCGAGCUCCGCCACGAGCGGAUCGAACGGGACCGGCUCGUGGUGGUGGCGGGCGGCGGCGGCGGGCGGCGGCGGCGGGGGGCUUGAAGGUGAAGUUGGACCGGAGCUUCAGGCGGCGGUGGUGGCCGCCGCGGCCAUGGCCGGCGGGGGACCGCGGGGAGCGCGAGACGAGGAGGAGGACGAGGACGGCAACGGCAAUGUAGAUGGCGACGGAGAGCUUGCCCAUCUAAAGGGGAAGCGCCGGGACCAUGCGGAGGAGAUCGGAGAUCGGCGGUCGGAGAUCGGCGGCGUCGGCGGCGGCGGCGAGGGUUUUGGAUCUGGAGAGAGACAGAAGGUGUUUGACGAAAUGGGGAAGUGAGGUUUGCCUUGGGGAGCGUGCGAUUUGCGCGUUUCUGGAGGUUUUUGCAGGAUGCCGCCGGGAUCACUCCUCCGCUCUAGAGAGAGAAAGUUUCGAGAAAGAGGAGAGAGAUCUGGAAAAUUUUCUGUUUUUUUUUUUGGUUCUUUAGUUCAUUUUUAGAGUUGCAUCUUAAUAUCUUAUAGAGAUUUAACCCGACAAAAGAAAAUCAAUAAAGUUAGUUGUUCUUUUGGAGAAAUAUUCGACAUAAAUUUUAAUGAAGUUGGAAAUUUCCUAGUUUUAAUCAUAUUCCAUUUCAUAGAUAUAGAAUCCUGUUUGUAAGGAGUUCCAAAGAUAAUUCGAAUCAAUUUUCAUUUUUUUUCAAAAUGAAAUAGAUUAGACCUUAUUAUUGUAAAACAGGAGAACGGAACAUAUUUUGUAAGUGUUUUCGAGAAUGAUUUUGUUACGAGCAAAACAUCGUAAUCAUGUUACAUUAGAAAAUCUACUUUAAUGGGGUUAUAUUUUUUAUUAUUUUGUGCAAUAGUCAAACAGUGAGCCAUCAUCUCAUCUAUAUUUCUUUUAAGGUGCCUGAUUUUUGGAUAGAUCCAGCUCACAUGUAUUGAUGUGUGUUGAUGAUCUCUUCUUUGGAGAUUAAGAUUGAAUACGUGAAUGUAUAAUAGCCAAAUCCGAUAGCUACGUGUAUAAAUUCAAAAUCAGAGAACACCACUCAUUUAGUAUUCUUGAGGUGCUUUUCUACAAAUAAAAUGUGCAUGCUGCACACAGCAUUCGCUCUUUUAGGCUCGAGCAUGGGACCUGUGCCGAUGAUGGCUUUGGUCUCUAUCAAGCCUUGGAGCGUGCUUCUUUAUGAGGUGUUAGGGAAAUUUCUACCAUCAAUUAACUAAUUACAUGUGCCUUCCUGCAUCACAAGUCACCACUAAAAUACAUGGUCAUAGGUCAUGUCUCGUGUUCUUAAAAGAAUGGGCCAAACAAGACUAGACAUAUAACCUAGAAUAAGCUUAUGAACCUUGUCCUAAGGACAAAAGAGUACGACCUAAUUAACUGGACCCGUGAAUUCAAUCUUUCGUUGUAAAGUAGGAUUCGCAACAUUCAUGGCCUCACAUGGGGAGGACCAUGGUCGACACGCGAACCCAGCAGCAGCAGCAAAAGCGAAUUCGACGACGACAAAAUUUGCCAAAAAUGGCCACGUCACUAAAUUCGGCCCCUCCGACGGUCCAGAAUCCGCCACGUCACCACCUCCCCCAGAAAUCCUCCGCCAAUCCACGGUGCUCGAUUAAUCACCGCACAACGGGCCAGCUCUCAUCCGCGAAAUCCCCGAACUGCCCCUACCAUCGCCCCCUUUAUCAGGCGUUCGAGCCGAUCCAUUUCGGUCAUUUCACCUUUCUCCUUCCUCGCAGGCUCUUCCUCGAAAAAGCCCACCAAUCCGUCGCCCUCUUUCGUCUUCUUCGUCUUCAGCUCUCCUUCUCCCUGCGCGCAGCAAUGGCGACCGGAAUCUUGAAGCGCGCGAUCGCGAUCUCGAGGGGGCCCACGCCGUCGCCGGCGGCGGCGGCGGCGGUGUCUUCGGCGGCGGCGCGCCUCCUCCUCGCCCGGUGCCACGCGAGCGAGGCCGAGGCGCAGCAGUCGAGCCCAAGGCCAAGCCUACCACCAGCCUCAAGACCUUCUCGAUCUACCGGUGGACCCCGGACAGCCCCUCGAAGCCGAAGCUCAAGGACUACCAGAUCGACCUCAAGGAGUGCGGGCCCAUGGUGCUCGACGCCCUCAUCAAGAUCAAGAACGAGAUCGACCCUUCCCUCACCUUCCGCCGC